rnacentral:rRNA from 1 species
GCCCCGGUAAACGGCGGCCGUAACUAUAACGGUCCUAAGGUAGCGAAAUUCCUUGUCGGGUAAGUUCCGACCUGCACGAAUGGCGUAAUGAUGGCCAGGCUGUCUCCACCCGAGACUCAGUGAAAUUGAACUCGCUGUGAAGAUGCAGUGUACCCGCGGCAAGACGGAAAGACCCCGUGAACCUUUACUAUAGCUUGACACUGAACAUUGAGCCUUGAUGUGUAGGAUAGGUGGGAGGCUUUGAAGUGUGGACGCCAGUCUGCAUGGAGCCGACCUUGAAAUACCACCCUUUAAUGUUUGAUGUUCUAACGUUGGCCCGUAAUCCGGGUUGCGGACAGUGUCUGGUGGGUAGUUUGACUGGGGCGGUCUCCUCCUAAAGAGUAACGGAGGAGCACGAAGGUUGGCUAAUCCUGGUCGGACAUCAGGAGGUUAGUGCAAUGGCAUAAGCCAGCUUGACUGCGAGCGUGACGGCGCGAGCAGGUGCGAAAGCAGGUCAUAGUGAUCCGGUGGUUCUGAAUGGAAGGGCCAUCGCUCAACGGAUAAAAGGUACUCCGGGGAUAACAGGCUGAUACCGCCCAAGAGUUCAUAUCGACGGCGGUGUUUGGCACCUCGAUGUCGGCUCAUCACAUCCUGGGGCUGAAGUAGGUCCCAAGGGUAUGGCUGUUCGCCAUUUAAAGUGGUACGCGAGCUGGGUUUAGAACGUCGUGAGACAGU